rnacentral:rRNA from 1 species
UACGAGGGGGGCAAAUGUUGUUCGGAAUCACUGGGCGUAAAGGGGGCGUAGGCGGGUUUCUAAGUCAGGUGUUUAAUCCCGGGGCCCAACCCCGGACAGGCACUUGAAACUGGGAAUCUUGAAUAGUGGAGAGGUCAGUGGAAUUGGGGGUGUAGCGGUGGAAUGCGUAGAGAUCCCCAAGAACACCAGUUGCGAAGGCGGCUGACUGGACACAUAUUGACGCUGAGGCUCGAAAGCAUGGGGAGCAAACAGG